UUUAAAGAAAAGGUGUAGAGU
rnacentral:piRNA from 1 species